rnacentral:rRNA from 1 species
GUGCGAAAGCAGGUCAUAGUGAUCCGGUGGUUCUGAAUGGAAGGGCCAUCGCUCAACGGAUAAAAGGUACUCCGGGGAUAACAGGCUGAUACCGCCCAAGAGUUCAUAUCGACGGCGGUGUUUGGCACCUCGAUGUCGGCUCAUCACAUCCUGGGGCUGAAGUAGGUCCCAAGGGUAUGGCUGUUCGCCAUUUAAAGUGGUACGCGAGCUGGGUUUAGAACGUCGUGAGACAGUUCGGUCCCUAUCUGCCGUGGGCGUGGAGAAUUGAGGGGGGCUGCUCCUAGUACGAGAGGACCGGAGUGGACGCAUCACUGGUGUUCGGGUUGUCAUGCCAAUGGCACUGCCCGGUAGCUAAAUGCGGAAGAGAUAAGUGCUGAAAGCAUCUA